rnacentral:rRNA from 1 species
UGGGGAAUUUUGGACAAUGGGCGAAAGCCUGAUCCAGCAAUGCCGCGUGUGUGAAGAAGGCCUUCGGGUUGUAAAGCACUUUUGUCCGGAAAGAAAUCCUUGGCUCUAAUACAGUCGGGGGAUGACGGUACCGGAAGAAUAAGCACCGGCUAACUACGUGCCAGCAGCCGCGGUAAUACGUAGGGUGCAAGCGUUAAUCGGAAUUACUGGGCGUAAAGCGUGCACAGGCGGUUUGCUAAGACCGAUGUGAAAUCCCCGGGCUCAACCUGGGAACUGCAUUGGUGACUGGCAGGCUAGAGUAUGGCAGAGGGGGUAGAAUUCCACGUGUAGCAGUGAAAUGCGUAGAGAUGUGGAGGAAUACCGAUGGCGAAGGCAGCCCCCUGGGCCAAUACUGACGCUCAUGCACGAAAGCGUGGGGAGCAAACAGGAUUAGAUACCCUGGUAGUCCACGCCCUAAACGAUGUCAACUAGUUGUCGGGGAUUCAUUUCCUUAGUAACGUAGCUAACGCGUGAAGUUGACC